rnacentral:rRNA from 1 species
CAAUAGCGUAUAUUAAAGUUGUUGCAGUUAAAAAGCUCGUAGUUGAAUUUUUGCUUGCCGCCGAUGUCGGAACUUCCGUACGUUCGGCGGCGUGCAUCCUUGGGUGGAACCUGUGUGGCAUUAGGUUGUCGUGCAGGGGAUGCUCAUCGUUUACUGUGAAAAAAUUAGAGUGUUCAAAGCAGGCUUACGCCGUUGAAUAUAUUAGCAUGGAAUAAUAAGAUAGGACCUUGGUACUAUUUUGUUGGUUUGCGCACCGAGGUAAUGAUUAACAGGGACAGUUGGGGGUAUUCGUAUUCCAUUGUCAGAGGUGAAAUUCUUGGAUUUCUGGAAGACGAACUACCGCGAAANCANNNACCAAGGAUGUUUUCAUNAA